AAUCCAGCGGGAAAGACAACGGUCGAGACGCCGCUGGCCAGGGCUGUCUCCCGUUCCCUCCCGAAAAUCCACACAGCAAAUAACCUGCUUACUGCGACUUUCUCCCCGGACAUCAAGCGGCAAGCAUGCACUGCCGGAGCAACCAUUCUACAGAGGAAAACUCAGCAAUCUUGCACCCUGUGGUCUGCCUGCAGCACGUUGCACCUUACCUGCAGCACAUCGCACUUUACUGUUAGACUCCUACCAACCAAUGAACACACUCAUCUUGAAUUACAGCACGAUACCACUCAUCGUAAUUCUACGUAUCACACCUAAUCCACUCCAGAUUGGUCGCUAUUCCCCAGGUGACCUUUGUGUAUAUCCCCGUCAAGAGCUUACGCCGUACUGACAGCUGAUUGGCUAC